GAUGAACGCUAGCGGCAGGCUUAAUACAUGCAAGUCGAGGGGCAGCAUGAACGCAGCAAUACAUUUGAUGGCGACCGGCAAACGGGUGCGGAACACGUACACAACCUUCCUAUAAGUGGGGAAUAGCCCAGAGAAAUUUGGAUUAAUACCCCGUAACAUAAUGAUGUGGCAUCACAUUAUUAUUAUAGCUUCGGCGCUUAUUGAUGGGUGUGCGGCUGAUUAGAUAGUUGGCGGGGUAACGGCCCACCAAGUCUACGAUCAGUAGCUGAUGUGAGAGCAUGAUCAGCCACACGGGCACUGAGACACGGGCCCGACUCCUACGGGAGGCAGCAGUAAGGAAUAUUGGUCAAUGGACGCAAGUUUGAACCAGCCAUGCCGCGUGAAGGAUUAAGGUCCUCUGGAUUGUAAACUUCUUUUAUCUGGGACGAAAAAAGGCUAUUCUUAGUCACUUGACGGUACCAGAUGAAUAAGCACCGGCUAACUCCGUGCCAGCCGCCGCAGUAAUAC
rnacentral:rRNA from 1 species